rnacentral:rRNA from 1 species
AGAGUUUGAUCCUGGCUCAGAACGAACGCUGGCGGCGUACAUAACACAUGCAAGUCGAACGAGAAAUUCCGCUUCGGCGGGAGAGUAAAGUGGCGAACGGGUGAGUAACACAAGGGUAAUCUGCCCUUAAAUUAGGGAUAACCUUGCGAAAGCGAAGCUAAUACCUGAUAAGACUACGACCUCUUAGGGGGUUGUAGGAAAAGAUGGCCUCUGUUUCAAGCUAUCGUUUAAGGAUGAGCCCUUGCACUAUUAGCUUGUUGGUGGGGUAACGGCCUACCAAGGCUACGAUGGUUAGUUGGUCUGAGAGGAUGACCAGCCACACUGGAACUGAGACACGGUCCAGACUCCUACGGGAGGCAGCAGUGAGGAAUAUUGCGCAAUGGGGGAAACCCUGACGCAGCGACGCCGCGUGAGUGAGGAAGGCCUUCGGGUCGUAAAGCUCUGUCAGAAGGGAAGAAGUGUUAUACGGUUAAUACCCGUAUAAUUUGACGGUACCUUCAGAGGAAGCACCGGCUAACUCCGUGCCAGCAGCCGCGGUAAUACGGAGGGUGCGAGCGUUGUUCGGAAUUACUGGGCGUAAAGGGCGCGUAGGCGGCUUUAUAAGUCAGAUGUGAAAGCCCACGGCUUAACUGUGGAAGUGCAUUUGAAACUGUGAAGCUUGAGUAUCGGAGGGGAGUGUGGAAUUCCCGGUGUAGAGGUGAAAUUCGUAGAGAUCGGGAGGAACACCGGUGGCAAAGGCGACACUCUGGACGAAUACUGACGCUGAGGCGCGAAAGCGUGGGGAGCAAACAGGAUUAGAUACCCUGGUAGUCCACGCCGUAAACGAUGUGAACUAGAGGUAGGUGGUGUUGAUCCCAUCUGUCUCGCAGCUAACGCAUUAAGUUCACCGCCUGGGGAGUACGGUCGCAAGAUUAAACUCAAAGGAAUUGACGGGGGCCCGCACAAGCGGUGGAG